rnacentral:ncRNA from 1 species
AGUAAUACAGCGAUAAAAGAGUAGUAACUUUCAAGUCAAUUAGUUAGAGAGAUUCCGGUAGCUGAAAAGGGAUUCUAGUUGAGAAAGUGAAUUCACUUUUGGAGUGAGACUAAUCCUCUCCGCUAACGCCCGUUAAGCGUAAUCAAGUUGCGUAUGAAAAGCAUACGAAACAGGAUGGUACCGCGUAUACUUACGUUCCUGAA